rnacentral:rRNA from 1 species
CACGCCGUAAACGAUGAAUGCCAGUCGUCGGUGCGCAUGCGUAUCGGUGACACACCUAACGGAUUAAGCAUUCCGCCUGGGGAGUACGGUCGCAAGAUUAAAACUCAAAGGAAUUGACGGGGGCCCGCACAAGCGGUGGAGUAUGUGGUUUAAUUCGAUGCAACGCGAAGAACCUUACCUGGGUUUGACAUCCACGGAACCCUCUUGAAAGAGAGGGGUGCCCUUCGGGGAGCCGUGAGACAGGUGC